GCGUUGGUGGUUCAGUGGCAGAAUUCUCACCUUCCGUGCGGGAGACGUGGAUUUGAUUCCCAGCCAAUGCA
rnacentral:tRNA from 1 species